ensembl:lncRNA
GAGGCAGGUAGCCUAGUGGUUAGAGGCUAUGGUUAGAGGCAGGUAGCCUAGUGGUUAGAGGCAGGUAGCCUAGUGGUUAGAGGCAGGUAGCCUAGUGGUUAGAGACAGGUAGCCUAGUGGUUAGAGGCAGGUAGCCUAGUGGUUAGAGGCAGGUAGCCUAGUGGUUAGAGGCAGGUAGAGUAGUGGUUAGAGGCAGGUAGCCUAGUGGUUAGAGGCAAGUAGCCUAGUGGUUAGAGGCAGGUAGCCUAGUGGUUAGAGGCAGGUAGCCUAGUGGUUAGAGGCUAUGGUUAGAGGCAGGUAGCCUAGUGGUUAGAGGCAGGUAGCCUAGUGGUUAGAGACAGGUAGCCUAGUGGUUAGAGGCAGGUAGCCUAGUGGUUAGAGACAGGUAGCCUAGUGGUUAGAGGCAGGUAGCCUAGUGGUUAGAGGCAGGUAGCCUAGUGGUUAGAGGCUAUGGUUAGAGGCAGGUAGCCUAGUGGUUAGAGGCA